rnacentral:misc_RNA from 1 species
UCAAGAAAUUUGCUAAGUGAUUGUUUCCAUAUUCGGGGAAACCUAGGUUGAGGAGAAUAAACAUAGUAGGUAAUCCUGAGCCAAAUUUUGUUUCCCUUACAAAAUAGGUGCAGAGACUCAAAGGAAACUAUCCAAACAAAAAUAAAUUAUUUAUUAAUUAUUAGUUCGUUCCACAAUGAAUUUUUAUAUAUUUAUAUAUAUAUA